GUAGGUGGCAAGCGUUGUCCGGAAUUAUUGGGCGUAAAGCGCGCGCAGGUGGUUCUUUAAGUCUGAUGUGAAAGCCCCCGGGCUCAACCGGGGAGGGUCAUUGGAAACUGGGGAACUUGAGUGCAGGAGAGGAAAGUGGAAUUCCACGUGUAGCGGUGAAAUGCGUAGAUAUGUGGAGGAACACCAGUGGCGAAGGCGACUUUCUGGCCUGUAACUGACACUGAGGCGCGGAAGCGUGGGGAGCAAACAGGAUUAGAUACCCUGGUAGUCCACGCCGUAAACGAUGAGUGCUAAGUGUUGGGGGGUUUCCGCCCCUCAGUGCUGCAGCUAACGCAUUAAGCACUCCGCCUGGGGAGUACGGUCGCAAAGACUG
rnacentral:rRNA from 1 species